rnacentral:lncRNA from 1 species
ACCUAAUGCUGACUAAAGGAAAAAGUUCAGUUUAGGGUUUAAAACCCUAAUGCUGACUAAAGGAAAAAGUUUAGUUUAGGGUUUAAAACCCUAAUGCUGACUAAAGGAAAGAGUUCAGUUUAGGGUUUAAAACCCUAAUGUUGACUAAAGGAAAAGAGUUCAGUUUAGGGUUUAAAACCCUAAUGCUGACUGAAGGAAAAAGUUCAGUUUAGGGUUUAAAACCUUAAUGCUGACUAAAGGAAAAGUUCAGUUUAGGGUUUAAAACCCUAAUGCUGACUAAAGGAAAAAGUUCAGUUUAGGGUUUAAAACCCUAAUGCUGACUAAAGGAAGAAAAAAAAAAGUUCAGUUUAGGGUUUAAAACCCUAAUGCUGACUAAAGGAAAAAGUUUAGUUUAGGGUUUAAAACCCUAAUGCUGACUAAAGGAAAAAGUUUAGUUUAGGGUUUAAAACCUUAAUGCUGAUUGAAGGAAAAGAGUUCAGUUUAGGGUUUAAAACCCUAAUGCUGACUAAAGGAAAAAGAGUUCGGUUUAGGGUUUAAAACCAUAAUGCUGACUGAAGGAAAGAGUUCAGUUUAGGGUUUAAAACCCUAAUGCUGACUAAAGGAAAGAGUUCAGUUUAGGGUUUAAAACCCUAAUGCUGUCUAAAGGAAAAGUUCAGUUUAGGGUUUAAAACCCUAAUGCUGACUAAAAGAAAAGUUCAGUUUAGGGUUUAAAACCCCUAAUGCUGACUAAAGUAAAAAGUUCAGUUUAGGGUUUAAAGCCCUAAUGCUGACUAAAGGAAAAAGUUCAGUUUAGGGUUUAAAACCCUAAUGCUGACUAAAGGAAAAGAGUUCAGUUUAGGGUUUAAAACCCUAAUGCUGACUAAAGGAAAAGAGUUCAGUUUAGGGUUUAAAACCCUAAUGCUGACUAAAGGAAAAGAGUUCAGUUUAGGGUUUAAAACCCUAAUGAUGACUAAAGGAAAAGUUCAGUUUAGGGUUUAAAACCCUAAUGCUGACUAAAGGAAAAGUUCAGUUUAGAGUUUAAAACCCUAAUGCUAACUAAAGGAAAGAGUUCAGUUUAGGGUUUAAAACCCUAAUGCUGACUAAAGGAAAGAGUUCAGUUUAGGGUUUAAAACCCUAAUGCUGUCUAAAGGAAAAGUUCAGUUUAGGGUUUAAAACCCUAAUGAUGACUAAAGGAAAAGAGUUCAGUUUAGGGUUUAAAACCCUAAUGCUGACUAAAGGAAAAGAGUUCAGUUUAGGGUUUAAAACCCUAAUGCUGACUAAAGGAAAAGAGUUUAGUUUAGGGUUUAAAACCCUAAUGCUGACUAAAGGAAAAGAGUUCAGUUUAGGGUUUAAAACCCGAAUGCUGACAAAAGGAAAAGAGCUCAGUUUAGGGUUUAAAACCCUAAUGCUGACUGAAGGAAAAAGUUCAGUUUAGGGUUUAAAACCCUAAUGCUAACUAAAGGAAAAGUUCAGUUUAGGGUUUAAAACCCUAAUGCUAACUAAAGGAAAGAGUUCAGUUUAGGGUUUAAAACCCUAAUGCUGACUAAAUGAAAAAGUUUAGUUUAAGGUUUAAAACCCUAAUGCUGACUGGCUGG